AGUGAACGCUGGCGGUAGGCCUAACACAUGCAAGUCGAACGGCAGCACAGUAAGAGCUUGCUCUUACGGGUGGCGAGUGGCGGACGGGUGCGGAAUACAUCGGAAUCUACUUUUUCGUGGGGGAUAACGUAGGGAAACUUACGCUAAUACCGCAUACGACCUACGGGUGAAAGCAGGGGAUCUUCGGACCUUGCGCGAUUGAAUGAGCCGAUGUCGGAUUAGCUAGUUGGCGGGGUAAAGGCCCACCAAGGCGACGAUCCGUAGCUGGUCUGAGAGGAUGAUCAGCCACACUGGAACUGAGACCCGGUCCAGACUCCUACGGGAGGCAGCAGUGGGGAAUAUUGGACAAUGGGCGCAAGCCUGAUCCAGCCAUACCGCGUGGGUGAAGAAGGCCUUCGGGUUGUAAAGCCCUUUUGUUGGGAAAGAAAAGCAGCAGGUUAAUACCCCGCUGUUCUGACGGUACCCAAAGAAUAAGCACCGGCUAACUUCGUG
rnacentral:rRNA from 1 species